rnacentral:rRNA from 1 species
UCCCUCGGGAUGUAAACUUCGCAAGAAUGGGAAGAAUUAGUAGGGGCUAAUACCCCCUAUGAUGACGGUACCAUUUGUAAGCUCCGGCUAACUCCGUGC